UGGGUUUGAUGGUUUCACAACUUUCUGGCA
rnacentral:piRNA from 1 species